rnacentral:rRNA from 1 species
UACGGAGGGGGCUAGCGUUGUUCGGAAUUACUGGGCGUAAAGCGCACGUAGGCGGCUUUGUAAGUUAGAGGUGAAAGCCUGGGGCUCAACUCCAGAAUUGCCUUUAAGACUGCAUCGCUUGAACGUCGGAGAGGUGAGUGGAAUUCCGAGUGUAGAGGUGAAAUUCGUAGAUAUUCGGAAGAACACCAGUGGCGAAGGCGGCUCACUGGACGACUGUUGACGCUGAGGUGCGAAAGCGUGGGGAGCGAACAGG